AAAGUCUCGGGGGUCUGAAGGCUCUGGGUGACCCUGGAGAGCUAUCAGGAGGGGGCCUGGCCAGAGAGGACAAGGGAGCAGGGAGGUGUCCAUGUCAUGAUGGACCACCAUGCCAGGCUAAAAUGUCUCAGCACUAUCCAACCGGCUGGGGAGUCUUGGUGGAUUUGAAGCCAAGAUGUGACAUAAUCCUGUUUUAAUAAGAUCCAGUGAGAGGCAGGUAUGGAAAAGCUCUGGAAAAAUCCUGAACAGCAUUCCCAAGGAAUGCUCUACAGGGUGUUCUGUCAAUUCCUAAGAACUCCAUGUGAAAGAAAGCGUUCCAUGCUCCAGAUAGUUUUGACCCCCCACAACACAAACACACAUGUAUUUUAUACAUAGUGUAUGUAUGUAAUACAUAUGUUAUAUGAGUUUUUUUUGUUUGUUUUGUUUUUUUCUAGACGGAAUCUUGCUCUGUCGCCCAGGCUGGAAUGCAGUAGUGCAAUCUCAGCUCUCCGCAACCUCUGCCUCUCAAGUUCAAACAAUUCUCCUGCCUCAGCCUCCUGAGUAGCUGGGAUUACAUGCGUGCACCACCACACCCAGCUAAUUUUUGUAUUUUUAGUAGAGACAGGGUUUUGCCAUGUUGACCAAGCUGAUCUUGAACUCCUGACCUCAGGUGAUCUGCCCGCCUUGGCCUCCCAAAGUGCUGAGAUUACAGGUGUGAGCCACCACACCCAGCCAUAUGUUACAUGUGACUAGGUAAAUCAGCAUUGUUAUGUGCCAAAGAAAGGUAAAGGAUCUGAGAAGGUCUGCAGUAAAAAUAAACUUUUGGCUUUUGACUUUUACAAUUUUCAAAAUUUCUUGAUUUAGCCAAUUCCAAAAUCACUUGACCAUAUAACCCUUCUCAUUUCUCUCUCCCACCCUCAUAAUACCUAUUAGCUUCCUGGAGAAGCAGCAGAGUGGGGAAAAUGCUGUCAAACAGUUCCCAUUUCUUAAAGUAUAUCUCUUUUUCCUUAUGCAGCACCCCCUCUUAUGCUGCCCCUGGCUGGAGGCCCCAUUUUUAGAACUUCUCAGCAGUAGCCACCACCCUGGGCCAGCCACCUGGGCAGCUCCCAGACUGCCUGGCCUGCAGCAGGUGAACGCAGCAGUCCUGGUCACUCUCUAGUGGGUUAGCAUAAUCCAGAACAGUGGAUAAUCUAAAAGCCAUUUAUUUUUGGCAUGCUUUAGUGAGUUUAUUUUUACUGUAGUCUUACUUUCCUAAUUUGGCCUCACUCAGACACAUGCUAAAAUGAGUGUGCUUUUUCUGAACACACUCUGAGUAAAGGGGGGAAGGGGAUCCAGAGGGAUGCUGAGGGAGGCUGGCAGGGGAAUGUCAUAUAUGUUGUGGCCAGCGUCUCCAUCCUCAACUGCAUGUUGAAAAGACCUCCAGAUUGGAAACUGUGUGCUGACCUGGUUCCUGAAAACAGCAGACCCAGGAGACAAAAUGAGCAGAAUACAUGGUUCAGUGAGAUUUGGUAUAAAAAGCGUGAGCUUGAGGGUCACUCUGUUGGGGGUUUGAAUCCCAGUGUUGCAGAUCCCUUUGCCCUUUCCAUGACAGUGCCUGGCUCCCAGCUGCCAGUACCUACAUCCUUCACCUGAGGGCUUCUGUCACAUCAAAGCCACUCUACCUGCCCACAUGGUAGGUCAAAGCUGCCAGGGAAUUAACACUCCACACACUUAACCUAAGAAUUCCGGCUGGGCGCGGUGGCUCACGCCUGUAAUCCCAGCACUUUGGGAGGCCAAGGCGGGCGGAUUGCCUGAGGUCAGGAGUUCAAGACCAGCCUGGCCAACGUGGUGAAACCCCGUCUCUACUAAAAAAUAUAAAAAAAAUUAGCCAGGCGUGGUGCCAUGUGACUGUAAUCCCAGGUACUCGGGAGGCUGAGGCAGGGAAAUUGCUUGAACCAGGGAGGAGGAGGUUGCAGUGAGCCGAGAUCGUGCCACUGCACUCCAGCCUGGGCAGCAGAGUGAGACUCCAUAUCAAAAAAAAAAAAAAAAAAAAAAGAAGUCUUCAACCAUUGCCUCAGCAUACAGGUAUAAAUACCCCUGCUCACUCACUCCUCAGGUGGUCCCAUUCUGAGGCUUGAUGGUUUCCCAGGGGGAUUAGGCUCCAGUUGCCACCAGGGAUAGGUGGCUUGAAAACCUGCCCUUUGUGGGCUGCCUUCCUGCUUGUCUCACCAUCCAUUUGUGUUUUCUGGGCCCAGCUCCCAAAUAAAUUACUUAGACUCAAACUCUGGUCUCAGAGCCUGCUUCUAGGGGAACCCAGACUAAGAAACCCCUUCAGGCUGGGUGACCUGGGAGCAGUGACUCAGCACAGUCUAAGCCUCAGUCUUCCCAAUCAUUAAAGAAGGGACAUGACCCCAGCUCCCCUCCGUUCUGUUUAGGGUUCCAGAUAUCCCAACAGAUGCCAAAUAAACACUGAGACUUUGUUAUUCUCUGCAACAAAAUCAUUUAUACCAAGUCAGGUCUGGACGGGUCACCAAGCAGACUUCACAGCAGACCAUGACAUCCACAAGGAAACAGGAAUGAGGAUGCUGGGGGAGAGAAAGGAUGCAGUUUUCAGCCAUCUGAAGGCAGCUGGGGAAGGGUGGCCCACAUGCCACUGUGAGAAGGCCUCAGGGUGGAAAAUGAAAGAUGCUUAAGGUCACUGCCCCUCCUGUUCUGUACACAAGCCUAAGCUCGGGAGGAAAUAAUUUGAGGUAUCUGGAAGAAGCAGAGAGAGCAGGGCAGCUCUGAAGUCACUGCGAGGCUGUGAGAGGUCAGCCAGCGCUUCAAAGGACCCCAGGACCUUUGCAUAACCCUGGACUGAAUGGGAAGGGAAAGUCCCAGUCAUGACAGAAACGGAAUUUCCCACCAACUCAGUAGGAGGUUUGGGGUUCAGGGUCAGUUUCAUGGCAGUGCAAACAAAAUAAAGAAAAUGUGAUAUUUAUUGCUUACUUAAAUUUGUGGACCAAACUGCCUACCAUGCUAUCCACACUGUUUCCUGCAGGUGGUCAAUGUGGGCUUAAGGGAAAAGUAACUCAUCUUAAUAUUUGCUUAAAUCAAAUGGAAUAUAGAAAGUAAAUAAAUCUGCUGCCAAGCCAUCAAGUAGGGCAUUCUAAACCCAAAAUAAAGAGCCUAUGGACUGUCUGUGGAUUUAGAUUAUGCAUAGUUUUCUGCCACCACUCCCUGUAUUCAAAUCAAUAGUCACAUUUCAUUGCAGACACUUGGAGCUGUCUGGGUUCAAAUCCCAGCUCUGUUGCUUAUUAGCUGAGACACUUCAGCCAAGGUACUGACACUCUCUGUGCCUCAAUUUCCCCAGCCAUUAAGUAGGAGUCAUAAUUGCAUAACCCCCACAGGGUGGAUGUGACAAUUCAACCGGAUCACAAAAGUGCAUGCUCAGCCUAGUGCCUGGCACACUGUAAGGAUCAAUAAACAGGAGCUAUUAUUAUUAUGCUAAUUUGAAGGAUUCUUGUUUUUAAACGUCCUCAUUUCACAUUGCAGAUACCCAAAUAGAAACACAGAUUUUCAUUUGCUUACAAACCUUCCACUUUUCUCCAGCUAGAAGUUACAGGUGGCCCCUAUGGGUGAAUGUGUUAGGUAACACUCACACUUUAAGCAAGGGGAAAUGCAGGCCCAGAGAGAGU
rnacentral:lncRNA from 10 species